AGCAGCCGCGGUAAUUCCAGCUCCAAUAGCGUAUAUUAAAGUUGUUGCAGUUAAAAAGCUCGUAGUUGAAUUUCGGGGUUAGUAGGCUGGUCGUGCCACUGGUACGUACUGGUCUCACUGACUCCUCCUUCCUGAUGAACUGUAAUGCCAUUAAUUUGGUGUUGCAGGGAAACUGGACUGUUACUUUGAAAAAUUAGAGUGUUUAAAGCAAGCUAACGCUUGAAUACAUUAGCAUGGAAUAAUGAAAUAGGACGUUCGAUCCUAUUUUGUUGGUUUCUAGGAUUGACGUAAUGAUUAAUAGGGAUAGUUGGGGGCAUUAGUAUUCAAUUGUCAGAGGUG
rnacentral:rRNA from 1 species